GAGGGUAUAGCUCAGUGGUAGAACUAUGCUUAGAGCACAUGCUUAGCAUGCACGAGGUCCUGGAUUCAAUCCCCAGUACCUCCA
rnacentral:tRNA from 1 species